rnacentral:rRNA from 1 species
AUUGAACGCUGGCGGCAUGCUUUACACAUGCAAGUCGAACGGCAGCACGGGGGCAACCCUGGUGGCGAGUGGCGAACGGGUGAGUAAUAUAUCGGAACGUACCCGGAAAUGGGGGAUAACGUAGCGAAAGUUACGCUAAUACCGCAUAUGCCCUAAGGGGGAAAGCGGGGGAUUCGCAAGAACCUCGCGUUUUCGGAGCGGCCGAUAUCGGAUUAGCUAGUAGGUGAGGUAAAGGCUCACCUAGGCGACGAUCCGUAGCUGGUCUGAGAGGACGACCAGCCACACUGGAACUGAGACACGGUCCAGACUCCUACGGGAGGCAGCAGUGGGGAAUUUUGGACAAUGGGCGCAAGCCUGAUCCAGCCAUGCCGCGUGAGUGAAGAAGGCCU